GUGCUCUGUUCGGCAGCAUGAAUAUUAAAAUUUGAAUCAUACAGAGAAGAUUUGGUAUGGCCCCCAUGUAAGAAUGACACGUAAGUUUAUGAAGUGUUCCGUUAUCUU